rnacentral:rRNA from 1 species
UCUGGUGGCUAUAGCAAGGAGGUCACACCUGUUCCCAUGCCGAACACAGAAGUUAAGCUCCUUAGCGUCGAUGGUAGUCGAACUUACGUUCCGCU